AGUGAACGCUGGCGGUAGGCCUAACACAUGCAAGUCGAACGGCAGCACAGUAAGAGCUUGCUCUUACGGGUGGCGAGUGGCGGACGGGUGCGGAAUACAUCGGAAUCUACUUUUUCGUGGGGGCUAACGUAGGGAAACUUACGCUAAUACCGCAUACGACCUACGGGUGAAAGAAGGGGAUCUUCGGACCUUGCGCGAUUGAAUGAGCCGAUGUCGGAUUAGCUAGUUGGCGGGGUAAAGGCCCACCAAGGCGACGAUCCGUAGCUGGUCUGAGAGGAUGAUCAGCCACACUGGGACUGAGACACGGUCCAGACUCCUACGGGAGGCAGCAGUGGGGAAUAGUGGACAAUGGGCGCAAGCCUGAUCCAGCCAUACCGCGUGGGUGAAGAAGGCAUUCGGGUUGUAAAGCCCUUUUGUUGGGAAAGAAAAGUAGCAGGUUAAUACCCCGCUGUUCUGACGGUACCCAAAGAAUAAGCACCGGCUAACUUCGUG
rnacentral:rRNA from 1 species